rnacentral:rRNA from 1 species
CCAGACUCCUACGGGAGGCAGCAGUGGGGAAUAUUGCACAAUGGGGGAAACCCUGAUGCAGCGACGCCGCGUGAGUGAGGAAGUAUUUCGGUAUGUAAAGCUCUAUCAGCAGGGAAGAAAAAAUGACGGUACCUGACUAAGAAGCACCGGCUAAAUACGUGCCAGCAGCCGCGGUAAUACGUAUGGUGCAAGCGUUAUCCGGAUUUACUGGGUGUAAAGGGAGCGCAGGCGGUACGGCAAGUCUGAUGUGAAAGCCCGGGGCUCAACCCCGGUACUGCAUUGGAACUGCAUGGCUGGAGUACAGGAGGGGCAGGCGGAAUUCCUAGUGUAGCGGUGAAAUGCGUAGAUAUUAGGAGGAACACCGGUGGCGAAGGCGGCCUGCUGGACUGUGACUGACGUUGAGGCCCGAAGGCGUGGGGAGCAAACAGGAUUAGAUACCCGGGUAA